rnacentral:rRNA from 1 species
GAUGAACGCUGGCGGCGUGCCUAAUACAUGCAAGUCGAGCGAACAGACGAGGAGCUUGCUCCUCUGACGUUAGCGGCGGACGGGUGAGUAACACGUGGAUAACCUACCUAUAAGACUGGGAUAACUUCGGGAAACCGGAGCUAAUACCGGAUAAUAUAUUGAACCGCAUGGUUCAAUAGUGAAAGACGGUUUUGCUGUCACUUAUAGAUGGAUCCGCGCCGCAUUAGCUAGUUGGUAAGUUAACGGCUUACCAAGGCAACGAUGCGUAGCCGACCUGAGAGGGGGGUCGGCCACACUGGAACUGGGACGCGGUCCAGACGCCUACGGGAGGCAGCAGUAGGGAAUCUUCCGCAAUGGGCGAAAGCCUGACGGAGCAACGCCGCGUGAGUGAUGAAGGUCUUCGGAGCGUAAAACUCUGUUAUUAGGGAAAAACAAAUGUGUAAGUAACUAUGCACGUCUUGACGGUACCUAAUCAGAAAGCCACGGCUAACUACGUG